GGAUGAACGCUGGCUGUGUGCCUAAUACAUGCAUGUCGAGCGAGGUUUCUUUUGAAGCCUAGCGGCGAAUGGGUGAGUAACACGUGCUUAAUCUACCCUUUAGAUUGGAAUACCCAAUGGAAACAUUGGCUAAUGCCGGAUACGCAUGGAACCGCAUGGUUCCGUUGUGAAAGGAGCUUUACAGCUCCGCUAAAGGAUGAGGGUGCGGAACAUUAGUUAGUUGGUAGGGUAAUGGCUUACCAAGACUAUGAUGUUUAGCCGGGUCGAGAGACUGAACGGCCACAUUGGGACUGAGAUACGGCCCAAACUCCUACGGGAGGCAGCAGUAGGGAAUAUUCCACAAUGAGCGAAAGCUUGAUGGAGCGACACAGCGUGCACGAUGAAKGUCUUCGGAUUGUAAAGUGCUGUUAUAGGGAAAGAACACUUGGUUGAGGAAAUGCUUCCAAGCUGACGGUACCCUGUCAGAAAGCGAUGGCUAACUAUGUGCCAGCAGCCGCGGUAAUACAUAGGUCGCAAGCGUUAUCCGGAAUUAUUGGGCGUAAAGCGUUCGUAGGCUGUUUAUUAAGUCUGGAGUCAAAUCCCGGGGCUCAACCCCGGCUCGCUUUGGAUACUGGUAAACUAGAGUUAGAUAGAGGUAAGCGGAAUUCCAUGUGAAGCGGUGAAAUGCGUAGAUAUAUGGAAGAACACCAAAGGCGAAGGCAGCUUACUGGGUCUAUACUGACGCUGAGGGACGAAAGCGUGGGGAGCAAACAGGAUUAGAUACCCUGGUAGUCCACGCUGUAAACGAUGAUCAUUAGUCGGUGGAGGAUUCACUGACGCAGCUAACGCAUUAAAUGAUCCGCCUGAGUAGUAUGCUCGCAAGAGUGAAACUUAAAGGAAUUGACGGGGACCCGCACAAGCGGUGGAGCAUGUGGUUUAAUUUGAAGAUACGCGGAGAACCUUACCCACUCUUGACAUCCUUCGCAAAGCUAUAGAGAUAUAGUGGAGGUUAACGAAGUGACAGAUGGUGCAUGGUUGUCGUCAGCUCGUGUCGUGAGAUGUUUGGUCAAGUCCUGCAACGAGCGCAACCCCUAUCUUUAGUUACUAACGAGUCAUGUCGAGGACUCUAGAGAUACUGCCUGGGUAACUGGGAGGAAGGUGGGGAUGACGUCAAAUCAUCAUGCCUCUUACGAGUGGGGCAACACACGUGCUACAAUGGUCGGUACAAAGAGAAGCAAUAUGGCGACAUGRAGCAAAUCUCAAAAAGCCGAUCUCAGUUCGGAUUGGAGUCUGCAAUUCGACUCCAUGAAGUCGGAAUCGCUAGUAAUCGCAGAUCAGCUACGCUGCGGUGAAUACGUUCUCGGGUCUUGUACACACCGCCCGUCACACCAUGGGAGCUGGUAAUACCCAAAGUCGGUUUGCUAACCUCGGAGGCGACCGCCUAAGGUAGGACUGGUGACUGGGGUGAAGUCGUAACAAGGUAUCCCUACGAGAACGUGGGGAUGGAUCACCUCCUUUCUACGGAGUACACAAUUGUUAUGGAAAAAUUAUUUGUAUCCAGUUUUGAGAGAUUUAUCUCUCUGUUCUUUGAAAACUGAAUAUCGACAUUGAAAAAUUAAAUUAUUAAUAUUUCAAAGUUUAGAUCAACCUAUAGAAUAUAAACAUCUAUAAUAAAAAGACAAACAAUAGGUCAUACAUAAAAAUAAAUAAAACUAUUAAACAAGAUAAGAGUUUUUGGUGGAUGCCUUGGGUCUGGAAGUCGAAGAAGGACGUGAUUACCUGCGAUAAGCCUCGGUUAGCUGGAAAUGAGCUGUGAUCCGGGGAUUUCCGAAUGGGGAAACCUAAUUGAGCUAAUCCUCAAUUAUCAUAUCGAUGAAUCCAUAGUCGAAUGAAGAGACACGCUGUGAAUUGAAACAUCUCAGUAGCAGCAGGAAGAGAAAAUAAAGAAUGAUUCCCUCAGUAGUGGCGAGCGAACGGGGAAAAGCCCAAACCAGCAUUCGUUGCUGGGGUUGUAGGACUACAUUUUAGAGUUACAAAUUUUACAUAUAGCAGAAUAAGUUGGAAUGCUUAAACAUAGAAGGUGAAAUUCCCGUAAGCGAAAUAUGUAAAUCUCUUUGUAGUAUCCUGAGUAGGGCGGGGCACGUGAAACCCUGUCUGAAUCUGCCGGGACCACCCGGUAAGGCUAAAUACUAACCAGACACCGAUAGCGAACUAGUACCGUGAGGG
rnacentral:rRNA from 2 species